CAAAGGAAUUGACGGGGCCCGCACAAGCGGUGGAGCAUGUGGUUUAAUUCGACGCAACGCGAAGAACCUUACCAGGGCUUGACAUCCCCUGACCGCGUAUGAAAGUACGUUUUCACCCUCGGGUGACAGGGAGACAGGUGGUGCAUGGUUGUCGUCAGCUCGUGUCGUGAGAUGUUGGGUUAAGUCCCGCAACGAGCGCAACCCCUACGUUUAGUUGCUAACGCGUGAAGGCGAGCACUCUAGACGAACUGCCGUUGACAAACGGGGGAAGGUGGGGAUGACGUCAAAUCAUCAUGCCCCUUAUGUUCUGGGCUACACACGUGCUACAAUGGCCGGUACAGACGGACGCAAAGCCGCGAGGUGGAGCAAAUCCGAAAAAGCCGGUCUCAGUUCGGAUUGCAGGCUGCAAUUCGCCUGCAUGAAGUCGGAAUCGCUAGUAAUCGCAGGUCAGCAUACUGCGGUGAAUACGUUCCCGGGCCUU
rnacentral:rRNA from 1 species